AAAAUUUUAGUUUAUAGAAAACCUCUUAUUUACAAUAAGAAAAAUUAAUUAGACUUAAGAAUUUUA
rnacentral:tRNA from 1 species